GAUGAACGCUGGCGGCGUGCCUAAUACAUGCAAGUCGAGCGAACGGACGAGAAGCUUGCUUCUCUGAUGUUAGCGGCGGACGGGUGAGUAACACGUGGAUAACCUACCUAUAAGACUGGGAUAACUUCGGGAAACCGGAGCUAAUACCGGAUAAUAUUUUGAACCGCAUGGUUCAAAAGUGAAAGACGGUCCUGCUGCCACUUAUAGAUGGAUCCGCGCUGCAUUAGCUAGUUGGUAAGGUAACGGCUUACCAAGGCAACGAUGCAUAGCCGACCUGAGAGGGUGAUCGGCCACACUGGAACUGAGACACGGUCCAGACUCCUACGGGAGGCAGCAGUAGGGAAUCUUCCGCAAUGGGCGAAAGCCUGACGGAGCAACGCCGCGUGAGUGAUGAAGGUCUUCGGAUCGUAAAACUCUGUUAUUAGGGAAGAACAUAUGUGUAAGUAACUGUGCACAUCUUGACGGUACCUAAUCAGAAAGCCACGGCUAACUACGUG
rnacentral:rRNA from 1 species